rnacentral:rRNA from 1 species
UGAACCUGCGGAAGGAUCAUUACCGAGUGAGGGCCCUCUGGGUCCAACCUCCCACCCGUGUCUAUCGUACCUUGUUGCUUCGGCGGGCCCGCCGUUUCGACGGCCGCCGGGGAGGCCUUGCGCCCCCGGGCCCGCGCCCGCCGAAGACCCCAACAUGAACGCUGUUCUGAAAGUAUGCAGUCUGAGUUGAUUAUCGUAAUCAGUUAAAACUUUCAACAACGGAUCUCUUGGUUCCGGCAUCGAUGAAGAACGCAGCGAAAUGCGAUAAGUAAUGUGAAUUGCAGAAUUCAGUGAAUCAUCGAGUCUUUGAACGCACAUUGCGCCCCCUGGUAUUCCGGGGGGCAUGCCUGUCCGAGCGUCAUUGCUGCCCUCAAGCACGGCUUGUGUGUUGGGCCCCCGUCCCCCUCUCCCGGGGGACGGGCCCGAAAGGCAGCGGCGGCACCGCGUCCGGUCCUCGAGCGUAUGGGGCUUUGUCACCUGCUCUGUAGGCCCGGCCGGCGCCAGCCGACACCCAACUUUAUUUUUCUAAGGUUGACCUCGGAUCAGGUAGGGAUACCCGCUG